UUCGGGGGACAGGGUGACAGGUGGUGCAUGGUUGUCGUCAGCUCGUGUCGUGAGAUGUUGGGUUAAGUCCCGCAACGAGCGCAACCCUCGACCUUAGUUGCCAGCAUUCAGUUGGGCACUCUAAGGUGACUGCCGGCUAAAAGUCGGAGGGAGGUGGGGAUGACGUCAAAUCAUCAUGCCCCUUAUGACCUGGGCUACACACGUGCUACAAUGGGCGGUACAAAGGGUCGCGAACCCGCGAGGGGGAGCCAAUCCCAAAAAGCCGCUCUCAGUUCGGAUUGCAGGCUGCAACUCGCCUGCAUGAAGCCGGAAUCGCUAGUAAUCGCGGAUCAGCAUGCCGCGGUGAAUACGUUCCCGGGCCUU
rnacentral:rRNA from 1 species